GACGCUAGCCAAAGCAACAGCACUCGUUCGCGAGUGAGGAAAGUCCGGGCAUCAAAUGGCAGGGUGCAGGCUAACGGCCUGUCGGGGCAACUCGAAGGAAAGUGCAACAGAAAAUAAACCGCCCGCAUGGGUUUUGCCCCUAGCGAGCAAGGUUGAAAAGGCGGAGUAAGAGCCCACCGCGCGCUUGGCGACAAGCUCGGCAAUGUAAACCCCACCUGAUGCAAGGUUAGAUGUCGUGGCGGAGCAAUCCGCGAAAAACUUAGCCAGAGUCCACGGCACAUACACCGCGUGAGCGCGUUGGCAACAGCGCGCCAAGAUAGAUUGUUGCUUGGGAGCUGUUGAUUGCUCCUAAACAAUUUUAGGACGAUGCCUUUUUUGCCCCUUUCCGUGUCUUUUUCGGUUAUUUAGCUUUGCUAAACUGCCCUCAAAAGCCGCGAAAAUGGUCUAAAAAAUUCAUUCGCCUAAAAUCGUUAGUAGCUAAUCAACAGCUCCGAAACAGAACCCGGCUUAUUGGCUAGCUCCAUUA
rnacentral:RNase_P_RNA from 1 species